rnacentral:rRNA from 1 species
GACAGAGGGUGCAAGCGUUGUUCGGAAUUAUUGGGCGUAAAGGGCGCGUAGGCGGCUUUGUAAGUCAGAUGUGAAAUCCCAGGGCUUAACCCUGGAAGUGCAUCUGAUACUGCUUAGCUUGAAUCCCGGAGAGGGUGGUGGAAUUCCUGGUGUAGAGGUGAAAUGCGUAGAUAUAGGAAGGAACACCAGUGGCGAAGGCGACCACCUGGACUGAUACUGACACUGAGGUGCGAAAGCGUGGGGAGCAAACAGG